GAUGAACGCUGGCGGCGUGCUUAACACAUGCAAGUCGAACGGAAAGGCCCAAGCUUGCUUGGGUACUCGAGUGGCGAACGGGUGAGUAACACGUGGGUGAUCUGCCCUGCACUUCGGGAUAAGCCUGGGAAACUGGGUCUAAUACCGGAUAGGACGAUGGUUUGGAUGCCAUUGUGGAAAGUUUUUUCGGUGUGGGAUGAGCUCGCGGCCUAUCAGCUUGUUGGUGGGGUAAUGGCCUACCAAGGCGUCGACGGGUAGCCGGCCUGAGAGGGUGUACGGCCACAUUGGGACUGAGAUACGGCCCAGACUCCUACGGGAGGCAGCAGUGGGGAAUAUUGCACAAUGGGCGCAAGCCUGAUGCAGCGACGCCGCGUGGGGGAUGACGGCCUUCGGGUUGUAAACUCCUUUCGCUAGGGACGAAGCGUUUUUGUGACGGCACCUGGAGAAGAAGCACCGGCUAACUACGUG
rnacentral:rRNA from 1 species